UAUCACAGGGGGAGCAAUUUUUGCUGAGAGUGGACAAUGUCCAGACCCUUCGAACCUGUUUAGUUAAUACUAACGUAGGGAUGUGGUGA
rnacentral:ncRNA from 1 species